UACCAGCAACCAAGGGGGAAAGAGCUCUCCUAGAGGAAGCUAAGUGAAGAGGUUUGACUCUCCGUUUGGCUUCUGAUAAAGUUGAUGACCCUGAAACCAAAAUGCAAGAGCUUCCAUAAUUUCUGAAAGAAGAAUCUGGCAGUUCUCACACUAGAACUUGUCUUUGUGUAAACUGCUGCAGCUCCAUUGAAGUCAACACUGAAUAACACAACUUGAGAAGCUGGCCUGGUUUGUUCUAUGCUAGCAAAUUCCAUUCAUUGCUUUGGUCUUCAAACUAGCUUUUCCCAGAAUAUGCUUUGCUGUUUCAAGCCAGCACGCCAAACACAAGGGACUGCCCAAUAACUGCUACAGUGGGGAACAGCAAAACAACAACGUACCUUGCCACUGGCCCCCUGCAGCCAUAGAGUCCAGAACUAUCUGCAUCCAGGCUCCUGACCACCAUAGAGAUGAUGACAAAAGUAUUAAGUAUAGACCAAACCCAACUUAAACCUAACCCAUCACAGUAAGACACAUAUUCUAGUCUGGACAUAAAACAAGCUACAGAUAGAAAUGCUGCUUCAGCAAGGAGGAGGAUGCACUGGCUUGAAUGCAAGACUAAGACAUGAGAAAUCUGGGUCCAGUUCCCUGUUCCUGUGGGACCUUGAGCAAAUCACUAUGUAUUUCUCUCUCCCUCAUUUGCCUGUCAUUUGAGAAUAGCAGCUCUUCUAUCCCUUUCAGGGCUGCUGUAGAUACUGCAGAGAUUGAGAAGCAUUCACCUACUCUGUGAAUAAAGGGCCAAAAAAAGUACCUCAAACAGAU